AUGUGGCAAUGCAUUUUCAAUGAUGUUUUCUUCAAGUACAUGGCUUACGUAAUCAAGAAAAAUAAGUUUGUUGCAGAGGAAGGGGACUAGUGUAGUAUCAUUUCCAAUCUACUCUUGCAGCGAAAGACUGAAUGGCAUUGAAUAUCACUUAUAUGGGCCCGAUUUACCAAAUUGGAGUAUGGUGUUAAUGUUUUGUUAUUCAUUACUCAUCCACUUUUAAUGGGAGACUUUGUAGCAAAAGUGCUUUUGAUUUUGGAGGUUCGUCCAGCUGUUGUACCUCCAUAGUCUUCAUUACUCUUUUUUGAGCCAUUGUAGAAAGACUGGCAAGUGGAUUUUUCAUCAACUUGGUUGCUCCCAGGUCCAAUCAAUUUGCAAUCUUGGAAACUUGGCACAGGUUAUGCAAACAAAUUUGCCUUCUUUAGACGACUUUUGGUUCAGGUCAGAUUUCUGGUCAUACAUAAACCUUUUACCGCUUAGAGAAUUUGGAGUCCUGAAAAAGCACAUGCAUACAAGAAGGAGGACGUGAGCAAGGGAUUAUUUAGUUUUAGAAUACGCAGUCAGUUUUUUUGGGGAUUUAUAUUGGCAGGAG